AGUGAACGCUGGCGGUAGGCCUAACACAUGCAAGUCGAACGGCAGCACAGUAAGAGCUUGCUCUUACGGGUGGCGAGUGGCGGACGGGUGAGGAAUACAUCGGAAUCUACUUUUUCGUGGGGGAUAACGUAGGGAAACUUACGCUAAUACCGCAUACGACCUACGGGUGAAAGCAGGGGAUCUUCGGACCUUGCGCGAUUGGAUGAGCCGAUGUCGGAUUAGCUAGUUGGCGGGGUAAAGGCCCACCAAGGCGACGAUCCGUAGCUGGUCUGAGAGGAUGAUCAGCCACACUGGAACUGAGACACGGUCCAGACUCCUACCGGAGGCAGCAGUGGGGAAUAUUGGACAAUGGGCGCAAGCCUGAUCCAGCCAUACCGCGUGGGUGAAGAAGGCCUUCGGGUUGUAAAGCCCUUUUGUUGGGAAAGAAAAGCAGCAGGUUAAUACCCCGCUGUUCUGACGGUACCCAAAGAAUAAGCACCGGCUAACUUCGUG
rnacentral:rRNA from 1 species